rnacentral:rRNA from 1 species
GAUGAAUGCUGGCGGCGUGCCUAAUACAUGCAAGUCGUGCGGCAGCGCGAGUAGUUUACUACUUGGCGGCGAGCGGCGGACGGCUGAGUAACGCGUGGGAACGUGCCCCAAAGUGAGGGAUAAGCCCGAGAAAUCGGGUCUAAUACCGCAUAUGGUCUUCGGAUUAAAGCUUCGGCGCUUUGGGAGCGGCCCGCGUACGAUUAGAUUGUUGGUGAGGUAAUGGCUCACCAAGUCGACGAUCGUUAGCUGGUCUGAGAGGAUGAUCAGCCAGACUGGAACUGAGACACGGUCCAGACUCCUACGGGAGGCAGCAGUAAGGAAUCUUCCACAAUGGGGGCAACCCUGAUGGAGCAACGCCGCGUGCAGGAUGAAGGCCCUCGGGUCGUAAACUGCUUUUAUGAGUGAAGAAUAUGACGGUAACUCAUGAAUAAGCACUGGCUAACUACGUGCCAGCAGCCGCGGUCAUACGUAGGGUGCAAGCAUUAUCCGGAGUGACUGGGCGUAAAGAGUUGCGUAGGCGGUUAGUAAAGCGAAUAGUGAAACCUGGUGGCUCAACCAUACAGACUAUUAUUCGAACUCACUAACUCGAGAGUGGUAGAGGUAACUGGAAUUUCUUGUGUAGGAGUGAAAUCCGUAGAUAUAAGAAGGAGCACCAAUGGCGUAGGCAGGUUACUGGACCAUUUCUGACGCUAAGGCACGAAAGCGUGGGGAGCGAACGGGAUUAGAUACCCCGGUAGUCCACGCCGUAAACGAUGGAUACUAGCUGUUGGAGGUAUCGACCCCUUCAGUAGCGAAGCUAACGCGUUAAGUAUCCCGCCUGUGGAGUACGGCCGCAAGGCUAAAACAUAAAGGAAUUGACGGGGAUCAGCACAAGCGGUGGAUCGUGUUCUUUAAUUCGAUGAUAAACGAAGAACCUUACCAGGGCUUGACAUCCAGGGAAGCACUACGAAAGUAGCGUGUGCCUUUUGGAACCCUGUGACAGUGUUGCAUGGCCGUCGUCAGCUCGUGUCGUGAGAUGUUUGGUAAGUCCAUCACGAGCGCAACCCUUGUGAAUAGUUGUAUUUUUCUAUUCGAUGUUCUCUCUUUAAAUAAUAGGGGAAGAAAGGGAGGGGGAUGAU